rnacentral:rRNA from 1 species
GACGAACGCUGGUGGCGUGCCUAAUACAUGCAAGUAGGACGCAGUUGCGAACGGGUGAGUAACGCGUAGGUAACUACCUAUUAGAGGGGGAUAACUAUUGGAAACGAUAGCUCAUACCGCAUACUAGUAGAUGGACCUGCGUUGUAUUAGCUAGUAGGUAGGGUAAUGGCCUACCUAGGCAACGGUACAUAGCCGAACUGUGAGGGUGGUCCACCAAAAUGGGACUUGGACACGGGCCAGAAUCCCUCGGGAGGCAGCAGUAGGGGAUCAUCGGCAAAGGGGGGAAAGCUUGCCGAGCAACGCCGCGGUGGAGAAGAAGGGUUUCGGAUCGUAAAGCUCUGUUGUUAAGGGAGCGGUACUUAAACAAAAAGGGACGGCUAACUACGUGCCAGCAGCCGCGGUAAUUC